rnacentral:rRNA from 1 species
GACGAACGCUGGCGGCGUGCUUAACACAUGCAAGUCGAACGGAAAGGCCCUGCUUUUGUGGGGUGCUCGAGUGGCGAACGGGUGAGUAACACGUGAGUAACCUGCCCUUGACUUUGGGAUAACUUCAGGAAACUGGGGCUAAUACCGGAUAGGAGCUCCCGCUGCAUGGUGGGGGUUGGAAAGUUUCGGCGGUUGGGGAUGGACUCGCGGCUUAUCAGCUUGUUGGUGGGGUAGUGGCUUACCAAGGCUUUGACGGGUAGCCGGCCUGAGAGGGUGACCGGCCACAUUGGGACUGAGGUACGGACCAGACUCCUACGGGAGGCAGCAGUGGGGAAUAUUGCACAAUGGGCGGAAGCCUGAUGCAGCAACGCCGCGUGCGGGAUGACGGCCUUCGGGUUGUAAACCGCUUUCGCCUGUGACGAAGCGUGAGUGACGGUAAUGGGUAAAGAAGCACCGGCUAACUACGUG